GACAGAGGGUGCAAACGUUGCUCGGAAUCACUGGGCGUAAAGGGCGUGUAGGCGGGAAGGAAAGUCGGGCGUGAAAUCCCUGGGCUCAACCCAGGAACUGCACUCGAAACUUCUUUUCUUGAGUGCCGGAGAGGAAAGCGGAAUUCCUGGUGUAGAGGUGAAAUUCGUAGAUAUCUGGAGGAACACCAGUGGCGAAGGCGGCAUCCUGGACCGGUAUUGACGCUGAGGCGCGAAAGCCAGGGGAGCAAACGGG
rnacentral:rRNA from 1 species